GAUGAACGCUGGCGGCGUGCCUAAUACAUGCAAGUCGAGCGAACAGACGAGGAGCUUGCUCCUCUGACGUUAGCGGCGGACGGGUGAGUCACACGUGGAUAACCUAUCUAUAAGACUGGGAUAACUUCGGGAAACCGGAUCUAAUACCGGAUAAUAUAUUGAACCGCAUGGUUCAUUAGUGAACGACGGUUUUGCUGUCCCUUAUAGAUGGAACCGCGCCGCAUUAGCUAGUUGGUAAGGUAACGGCUUACCAAGGCAACGAUGCGUAGCCGACCUGAGAGGGUGAUCGGCCACACUGGAACUGAGACACGGUCCAGACUCCUACGGGAGGCAGCAGUAGGGAAUCUUCCGCAAUGGGCGAAAGCUUGACGGAGCAACGCCGCGUGAGUGAUGAAGGUCUUCGGAUCGUAAAACUCUGUUAUUAGGGAAGAACAAAUGUGUAAGUAACUAUGCACGUCUUGACGGUACCUAAUCAGAAAGCCACGGCUAACUACGUG
rnacentral:rRNA from 1 species